rnacentral:piRNA from 1 species
UUUCUUAAUGCUUCCUGCCUGUUUUAGAGG